rnacentral:rRNA from 1 species
UACGUAGGGUGCGAGCGUUAAUCGGAAUUACUGGGCGUAAAGCGCACGUAGGCGGCUUCUUAAGUCAGGGGUGAAAUCCCCGAGCUCAACUCGGGAACUGCGUCCGAUACUGGCGGGCUUGAAUCCGGGAGAGGGAUGCGGAAUUCCAGGUGUAGCGGUGAAAUGCGUAGAUAUCUGGAGGAACACCGGUGGCGAAGGCGGCAUCCUGGACCGGCAUUGACGCUGAGGCGCGAAAGCUAGGGGAGCAAACGGG